UGUCUCGUAGCUCAACUGGAUAGAUGUACCCGGCUUUUAACCGGGGGGUUGUGAGUUCGAAUCUCACCGGGACAG
rnacentral:tRNA from 2 species